rnacentral:snoRNA from 1 species
GGUGGCCGGUGUGCAUGGUGAUGGUCUGUGUAUUGUGUUGCUGCAGGUCUGCGUUUUGCAGGUUCUGCAGCAGCGCUCACGCCACACCUGUAGCCACAGAACAGUCGGAGAUCAUAGUACUGGCCUUUGAUUGUCAUAUUUGACUUCUUGCAUUGGUUAGCCUCCAAACUCUCCAACACAA